rnacentral:rRNA from 1 species
UGGGGAAUAUUGCACAAUGGGCGCAAGCCUGAUGCAGCAACGCCGCGUGGGUGAAGAAGGCCCUUGGGUCGUAAAGCCCUUUCGAUGGGAAAGAAGGGAGUGUCGGUGAAUAAUCGGCGCUUUUGACGGUACCUAGAGAAGAAGCACCGGCCAAUUUCGUGCCAGCAGCCGCGGUAAUACGAGAGGUGCAAGCGUUGUUCGGAAUUAUUGGGCGUAAAGAGCACGUAGACGGGCUUAUUUGUCAAUUGUGAAAUACCUGGGCUUAACCUGGGAAUUGCAGUUGAAACGGUAGGUCUUGAAUACCUGAGAGGGUGGGGGAAUUCCUGGUGGAGAAGUGAAAUUCGUAGAGAUCAGGAGGAACACCGGAGGCGAAGGCGCCUGCCUGGCAGUGUAUUGACGUUAAGGUGCGAAAGCGUGGGGAGCAAACAGG